rnacentral:sRNA from 4 species
AUAUCUCUCCGUACGGGAAGGAUGAGAAGCUUCGACUAAGGUUCGAUUCGAGCGCAGCGAGAACGCGUUGCCGCAGGCAACGACCCGAAGGGCGAA